rnacentral:lncRNA from 1 species
GGUGGUGGAAGGAGAGGGGGACGCUGGGAAAUCCUCACAUGUACCACUUUAGCUCCUAUUUUGUCUGUCGGUCAGGAUGAAUCCCUUGGCUCUUUCCAACCGCUGGAGGUGGAGAACUGCUGCGUCGGUUGGGCCUGGAAGGGGAAAGAAACUGGAUAUAGAAAUAAUUUCUGCCAUACCCCAUUCUCAGUGACCUGGAACUUUGGAUGAUUUCCUAGAACAAUGUAAGAAACCGAUCUCAAGAGGCAAAGCUAAGGCUACAUAACAAGCAGUCACGCCCUGAGGUCCCACGCCAAGGCUGGAGUCUCGGAGUGAGAAGCGUCAGAGAGCUGUAAGCCAAUCAGGAAGCAAGUGCCAGCAUCCUGAGAAAGUCCUCCUGUGGCCAAGGCCAAGCUGUCAUGAGUUACCAUCUUUGUUCCAAACAACUCACCUUUUGCCAGUGGGAGGGGCUUCAGACGGGCCACUGGAUCCUUCUGCCAUGGUCCUUCACAGAGGAGAGGAACACUGGAGGUGUCCAAUGCCCUGGUCUGCUGAGCCGUUUCUAAGACAUGGAAGAAGCAAGGGAGCACUCGCAUCUGAGAACAACUGUGCUACAUCAGGCCCAGGUGAGUGGUCUGAUCAGACUGGAAGGACAGAAGAACAGAAGGACACAGAAGAACAGAAGGACAUGAUGAUGAGGACCUGCUGAUGAGUGUCCUUGUACUCUGGGGAUGGUGGAUCUCCAGAUGAAAUCUCAACAGGCGUGAGGUGUAGUCCUGACUGGCCUGGAAUUCCCACUGUAGAUCAGGUUGCCUUGAAGUUGCAAACAUCAGCCUACCUCUAUUGCCUAGAGGCUGUGCGUACCUACAUUUCUCUGCUUUCUUAUUUAAUUAUGUUUACACGUGUGGAUGUUUCACCUGCCUAUUUGUCUAUGACCCACAUGAAUUCCUGGUGCUGGAGAAGGCCAGUCCCCUUGGGACUGGAUUUACAGACAGCUUCGAGCCAUUCAGGUGUGGGGAAUCAAACCUGG